GAGCCGGAAUUAGAACUCACGACCUCUGACUCCCAAGCCCGGGCUCUUUCUACUGAGCUGCGCUGCUUCUCCGAUAUGACCUUGUAAGAUGAGAAGUGACCUUGGUAAUGCUUUGAAGAUGAAGAGAGUGGUGGCCUGGCGUAUUAUGCACGGAGAAGGAGUUUCAGCUCGUGACCCCCAUGACACCUUCAGAAGCCUGGUGACCCCCACCGGGUAGCCAUCCAUCUCUGCUUUGUCCACCAAGGGACGUGUGAUACGACUGGAGGUGAGGCGGCCCUGACCCCGUGCGGAGCUCUGGCCGGGGCCGAGCCGGAGCCGGCUGCCCUGGAGCGGAGGAAGACGAAGACCGCGGCCCAGGAUUUCCGAGACGAAGUGUUCGUCUUCCAGGAUCAGCUGGGUCCAGGUCACCUUCUUGGCAUCCUGGGGACGAGGGGGAGGCUGCUGGGGGCCGACGGGCAGGAGGUGGAGCCAGAGGAUCUUGUUAGAGAGCUGAGCUCGUGCCGGGCCCUGAGGGGCAAAGCCAAGGCGUUCCUGCUGCCGGGCUGCCAGGGCGGGGCCAGCGACUUUCUGCCAAGCCUGGCCGAGCUCUGCACCCACUCUCCUCACGGGCCCCCGCUAUAGAUGCUGACCCAGGACCGGGCCGGAGCUGAAUGGGGCGUGGAGAGCAGGCGUGAAUUGGGCUUUGAGAGCAGCGUGAGGAGGGAUCCCACCACCCAGGAUUCCCAGGAUGAGAUGGCCCAGUUCCAGGCAGAGUUGGAUGCCCGUGGGGCCCUGCCCAAGGUACCUUCCCUCUGACUGGCCUCUUUAGUGCGGGGUUGUUUCCGGUGCUGGCUCCAGGCUGCGUGACGUGCAGGGACGAGCGAGGGUCGGACUUCGUCCAGACUCUGGUGGAGGUGCUCCUGGCUGAGCUGCCUCACUGCGACCUCCUGGACCUCCUGACUGAGGUAAACAGAACAGACAGAAAGGCGGACGUGCUCGGGCCUUACUCUGACGACAUUUGCAAGAUGAACCUGGAGAACCUGCGACUCUGCCUGCAGCAUUGCCCUGGAUGUGAGAUUCUGCCCUGCUGCAGGUUUCCAGGCAGUAACCUGCAGUGAUAUCGAACCAUUCUUGAGCCUUGCAAUGGCUGCGGAAUUGGGCGUUGUCCGGGCCUCCCUGGAGCAGCUAGCACCCCUGAUGUUUAGACUCGUGCCGACCCAAGAUUGCUUCCUCAGGCCCCGACCCAAGCCCCAAGGCCAUCCAUCAGCUAGUGCUGGAGCACUUCUGAUCCAGUGCCAGUUCCAGUGCCAGGGGAGAUCCAGUGCCAGUUCCAGUGCCAGGGGAGAUCCAGUCCCAGAGGCAGGAACGUCACCGGAGGUCCACACGCCAACUGCCACGGCGACCAAAGAUGUGAAUCGGAUCCUCCUGGAGAGAGUUGAGAAGUAGGACUUUAUGGGCCCGCCCACGCCCCGGCCUCCUGUCCUUCCCUGGGAGGGGAGCAUCCUUAGACAAGGAACGGUAUCGCAGGUCCUCGUCUUUGAACCCCAGGUGUCAUGAACGAAAGCGAGGCGCAACGUCAUCAACAGGAACGUCCGGUGAACACAGCGCAUAAAAAGAAAUCAUCAGAGUAUUGUGAAAGGGAUGUUCACCUUUUUUUUAAGCUGGGCAAGAUCUGUGUGAGAGAGACAGUCAGCCACAGAAGAAAAUGUCUGGAUGUGUCUAACUCCCUGGAAAAAAAAUUCACAAAUCUUUCAGUUACAGUUGAAAAGGAGAGUCCAUCAGGGAAACUUACACAGUACCUGGAGACCCUUUCUGAGGCUUUGGAAUUCCUUUUGGCUCAAGGUGCAAGACGAUCCUACAAAUGAUCCGCAUGUGGGAAAAGGUUUGCCAAGAGUUCUUAUCUUAUCAUACAUAAGAGAAUCCACACAGGGGAAAAACCUUAUGAGUGUAGUCACUGUGGGAAAAGUUUCAACCACAAAACAAACACGAGAGGGUUCACACCAGAGAGAAACCUUACAGAUGGACUUAUUGCUGGAAGAAUUUCCGCCAGAGCUCACACCGGUGACGGCAUGAAAAUACCCAUGUAAGGGAGAAACUCCAGCAAUGUCAUGAAUUUUGGAAAAUGUUAAACAGUAGUGCAAAACUGUUUCAUCAGAAAACCCACGUGGAAGAAAAGCCACAUAAGUGCCGUAACUGUGGGAAAAUCUUCAGUCGGAAAUCCAACUGUUCCAGGCUUGAGGGAUGCCACAAGGUCCAGAAGCCACAUCGACAUGCAGUCUUUUGGAUGAGUUAACUCAAGCCUCUGUUCUAGUCAGUAUAAAACAAUUCAUCAUGAGGGAAAAUCCUUACACAAACAGAAAUGUGAGAAAUAGUUUCAGAGAACUCAGGUCAGAGUGAGGCCCGGGAAAUGGCCCCAAGUGCAAAAAGUAUUCUUAACAGUUCAGACCCUGUUACCCAUUGGGGAAUUGUGAUGAGAAGAGACUCUGCGAGCCUCCACUGUACCCAGACUUCCUUUCAGGCACAAGCAGUCCCAUUGCAAAGCAACACAAUGGGAAUAAAAAGCAAAUUUCUUCCUUUGCCUUAACCUCCGCUCUGUACUCAGACUAAUGUGACUCCUGGGAUGGCUCCCCUCAGAAUGACCCCAGGAAAAGGAGAUGGAACAGAGUCUCCAAGAGGAAGACACCCACUCAGUGAGGAAAACUUUAUACUGACUUCUCCCAGGACAAGAUGCCACUCUCCUUCUGCUAAUGCCAACUUAUCCCCUUCAAGGGAUGACCUUUUAAGGUGGGAUUCUGUCUCCCUUGGCCCCUGUCUGCAAGAGGUGAACCUGCCAUCAGGAAGGAUAAAGACUGCAGAUUUCUGCCUCUUCACCACACUUCUGUUAACAGCCUCGAUUUCUACUA